rnacentral:tRNA from 2 species
GCCUGGCUGGCUCAGUUGGUAGAGCAUGUGACUCUCAAUCUCAGGGUCAUGAGUUCAAGCCCCAUGUUGGGCA